UUAAAUUGAAGAGUUUGAUCAUGGCUCAGAUUGAACGCUGGCGGCAGGCCUAACACAUGCAAGUCGAACGGUAACAGGAAGCAGCUUGCUGCUUYGCUGACGAGUGGCGGACGGGUGAGUAAUGUCUGGGAAACUGCCUGAUGGAGGGGGAUAACUACUGGAAACGGUGGCUAAUACCGCAUAACGUCGCAAGACCAAAGAGGGGGACCUUCGGGCCUCU
rnacentral:rRNA from 1 species